GACGAACGCUGGCGGCGUGCCUAAUACAUGCAAGUCGAACGCUUUUUCUUUCACCGGAGCUUGCUCCACCGAAAGAAAAAGAGUGGCGAACGGGUGAGUAACACGUGGGUAACCUGCCCAUCAGAAGGGGAUAACACUUGGAAACAGGUGCUAAUACCGUAUAACACUAUUUUCCGCAUGGAAGAAAGUUGAAAGGCGCUUUUGCGUCACUGAUGGAUGGACCCGCGGUGCAUUAGCUAGUGGGUGAGGUAACGGCUCACCAAGGCAACGAUGCAUAGCCGACCUGAGAGGGUGAUCGGCCACACUGGGACUGAGACACGGCCCAGACUCCUACGGGAGGCAGCAGUAGGGAAUCUUCGGCAAUGGACGAAAGUCUGACCGAGCAACGCCGCGUGAGUGAAGAGGGUUUUCGGAUCGUAAAACUCUGUUGUUAGAGAAGAACAAGGAUGAGAGUAAAAUGUUCAUCCCUUGACGGUAUCUAACCAGAAAGCCACGGCUAACUACGUGCCAGCCGCCGCAGUAA
rnacentral:rRNA from 1 species